rnacentral:rRNA from 1 species
UUGCAUAUCAAUAAGCGGAGGAAAAGAAACCAACCGGGAWUGCCUUAGUAACGGCGAGUGAAGCGGCAAAAGCUCAAAUUUGAAAUCUGGUACCUUCGGUGCCCGAGUUGUAAUUUGGAGAGGGCAACUUUGGGGCCGUUCCUUGUCUAUGUUCCUUGGAACAGGACGUCAUAGAGGGUGAGAAUCCCGUGUGGCGAGGAGUGCGGUUCUUUGUAAAGUGCCUUYGAAGAGUCGAGUUGUUUGGGAAUGCAGCUCUAAGUGGGUGGUAAAUUCCAUCUAAAGCUAAAUAUUGGCGAGAGACCGAUAGCGAMCAAGUACAGUGAUGGAAAGAUGAAAAGAMCUUUGAAAAGAGAGUGAAAAAGUACGUGAAAUUGUUGAAAGGGAAGGGCAUUUGAUCAGACAUGGUGUUUUGUGCCCUCUGCUCCUUGUGGGUAGGGGAAUCUCGCAUUUCACUGGGCCAGCAUCAGUUUUGGUGGCAGGAUAAAUCCAUAGGAAUGUAGCUUGCCUCGGUAAGUAUUAUAGCCUGUGGGAAUACUGCCAGCUGGGACUGAGGACUGCGACGUAAGUCAAGGAUGCUGGCAUAAUGGUUAUAUGCCGCCCGUCUUGAAACACGGACCA